rnacentral:rRNA from 1 species
GACGAACGCUGGCGGCGUGCUUAACACAUGCAAGUCGAACGGAGUGGCGAACGGGUGAGUAACACGUGGGUGAUCCGCCUUGCACUUCGGGAUAAGCUUGGGGAACCGGGUGUAAUACCGGAUAGUGCAAGAUGAGCUCGCGGCCUAUGAGCUUGUGGGUGGGGUAAUGGCCUACCAAGGCGUCGACGGGUAGCCGGCCUUGGAGGGUGUACGGCGACAUGGGGACUAAGAUACGGCCCAGAGGCGUACGGGGGGCAGCGGUGGGGAAUAUGGCGCAGUGGGCGGAAGUCUGAUGCAGCGACGCCGGGUGGGGAAUGAUGGCCUUCGGGUGGUAAACUCCUUUCGACAGGGACGCGGUACCUGUAUAAGAAGCACCGGCUAACUACGUGCCAGCAGCCGCGGUAAUAC